GGCCCUAAGGUGUUCGACACAUAAGAUUGCAAAUCUUAAGGGGCAGAUAACCCCUGCUGGGGCUU
rnacentral:tRNA from 1 species